UCCCUGGUGUCUCAGUUGGUAAAGAAUCUGCCUGCAAUGCAGGACACCUGGGCUCAAUCUCCGGCUUGGGAA
rnacentral:tRNA from 1 species